rnacentral:rRNA from 1 species
AUGGCGGAGAGUCCGAGGUCGGUCACCUCUACCUUCCAUGGUGAGCGGCCGGUGGUUUCUGGUCUGGGGCUCUCGUCUGCCUCUGAGGGGUCGGUGGCGGUGGUGGCUCCGGCCGCGGCUGACGCUGGGGUGGGCUCGUCGCCUCAGAUCUCGCAGUGGCAGGAGGCCCCUGCAUCCAAGAAGACCAUGUGGCGGCGCCGCCAUGAGGAGGGCCGGAUGGCUCCAGCCAUGCGCAGCCAGUCGCCGCCUCGCAAGGAGGUCUCGCAGGAGAUGCGGGACAAGUGCUUCCGUUGUUUGGCGAAAGGGCAUUUCCUGAAGGACUGCACCAACGAUGUGAUCUGCCUCCGGUGUGGCUUGUCGGGGCACAUUGCGUCGCAGUGCAAGCGGCCGCGCAGCCCUUCCCCGGUGGAGGAGCUCCGGCGGGAGGCUGCGACCAAGGUCGCGCGUUGGUCUGGUAUGGUGGGUGUGACAUUGGGGCUUCAUGCGGUGGGUGGAGAGGCGCCGUCGAGGCGCCUGCCUACGCCCCCGCCCCGCCCCUUCCUUCGUCGCGCCCUGCACUGA